UGUUGAAAUCGAAAGGAUUGUGGACUGGACAAGCCAAGUUUACUUCGAUUCUCUUUUUCUCAGAUACCAAAUUCAUGGAGAAGUUUGUUCUCCCACACAAAGAAAAUGUUCCUGAGCUGCUUGAUAUUUUGAGAUUUGCUGGCACCUGUAAAGGAAAUGAUACCUUGCAUUUGGCAUCGGAGGAUGAGGAAGGGCUUAGCUGAUGGUCUAAUUUGUGACGACGAAGGUAGAUUAUUUCCCUAAUUUGACAUUUGGGUAUUUUCUGCAAAGGGCUUAUCUAAAGGUCCAUUGUGGUGUGGGAAUUUUCUUUUAUGACAAGCUAGCUAGAUUAACAUUGAUUAUAAAUCAAAUUUGUUCUGUCUUACUGAUUGCUAGCUUAAAUUAUUUUCUGAUUGUCUUUGGCAUAGUAUUGUUGCUUUGUACGUUAGCUGCAUGUUUUAAAAAUUCUACAUAACAGUCCAACUGAGAUUACCUUUGGAUCUAUCGAAGGGACUUUUGGCUUUUGUCCAAAUUAAUCCAAUUCCAGAUUGGUUUUUGUUUGGGUUAGUCUUGAAGAGUCAUAUUUCAGAUCAAGUUAUGCUGUAAGUAUAUACAAAAUAUCACCAAAGAUCACAGGAAGUUGCUGCGUAGUAAUUGCUCUAACGAUUUAAGUGGCUGAAAAACACUUAAACUUCUUUGCAAACUUAUGUAUUUAUGUACUAAUUGGAUUAUUCAAAUUUGAUUGAUUCAUUGUAAUAUUAGUAUGCAGUGGCUUCAAUGGAAUUUGAAAGACCAGUUGCACUGGGUUGAUCAGGAGUCACCAGCUCUUCUGAAACGUCUUCAACCUCCUUUGGAAUUGCUAAAGCUUUUCUCGCAUCAACAAACUCUUGCAUGCCUCCAUAGGCUUCUGCUCGUCCACUCUUUGUGAUUCCAGGUGCAGAUCUCUUCAUUCUUGGAUUUGGUGGAUGCAAUUUCUCAUCAUCAUAGCUGAAGCUUUUGCUCCACUUGAAAGCCUUCAGAAGGCUGCACAACUAAAUUUCUCUAACAUCUUUAUCGAACUAAUUGCCUUGAGUUAGUCAAUUCGCUGGUUCCUUAAGAAUAUUUUGGAUGUCAUUUUAUUUCUUAUUUCAAGUCUUCAUGUUGUCGAUGUGGUCCAUGUUUCCCGCAUCAUGAACCGCGUGGCCCAUUGUCUAGUCAAUCUUGGAAGGGCUGUAAAUUCUCUGUUUUUUUGGGUCUUGUAAUGAUAGAUCAGUCUAUCUCAGUAUCUAAUCCGCUUUAAUCUUUAUUGAAAUUUCUCCUUUUUUGGUGAAAAAAAACUCUAGCAUGCAAACUAACAUGUAAGCUCAGAAGGUUUAAAAGUGACAAUUAAAUGUUUAUUGCAAGAUUCUGUAAUUGGCUUUAGUUCUUGUUGUAGAGUUUAUGAUCAUUUACAUCACUAGUAUUUCUGAUUUUUAUGCACGCUAUCUUGACCCGUUCUCAACCAGUAUUUUUUUGGCUAUCGAUGUCUUUGUGCAUGUAUUCAGUAUCUCAUUUCAGAUUGGGUCAUAAGAUCAUCAUCAUCUUUAUCAAUGCGUGAAAUGUGUUUUGGAUUUUGAUAUCAUUUGUUCCAUCUUUAUUCUUUAUUCUUUGUCUUGGAUAAUAAUGUCUCAAAUCCAUAAUUUUGAUAUAAAUAAUUUAUCCAUAAUUUUGAUAUAAAUAAUUUAUUACAGUAAUUUUUAUUCCUAUGCAUAGUGAAGGACAACUGUUUGAAUUAUGAUACCCGGAUGCUCUCCUUUAUCUAGUCACAAUGCUCGGCUCCUCUCUUUUUCUUUUAUUUUAUCGUCGAUUGAUUAAAAUUAUGUUAGGUGUUGUAUUGUAUCUGACCAUAUAAAUUGAAUUAUGUUGAAUCAUGAGUUGAAUUAUACUUAACUAUAUGAAUUACGUAAUACUUAGUCACAUUAGUUAGGUUGUGAUUGACUACAUAGAUUGAUUUGAUAAAUCAACUUAUAUUAAAUCAAUAAUUUAACUCAUAUUAUUAAAUUAUAUCAUAAUAUUUUUUAAAAAUACUUUAAAAUAAUAACUAACCUUAAAUCUAUUCUUUUUCAAGAAUUAACUAAUUUAGAUUGAUAAUUUUAAAUUUAAAACUAAUUAAAUUGUACAAAUUCAUACAAAAUUUUUUUAAACAUAAAUAUGUCUAAUUAAAUAAAUUAAAAUUAUUAUUAAAUUAACUAAUUAUUUUAACAUCAUAAUUUCAUAAUCAUUAUUUAUUAAUCAUAAUAUUUUAAAAUUAAAACAUUAUUUUGCAUCAUAUUAAUUAAAAAAAUUCUACUAUUAAAUAUUUUAAAAUAUAAAUAAAAAUGAUAAUAAAGAAAAUAAAGAAUCCUACUCGUCCUUGCAAUCCUAUCAUCAAAAUUUUUUUUUUCUUAAUCCUUCGUCCAACUUCUAAGAGAGGGGAAUUAACGAGGAAUAGUAGAAGACGAGAGGGGAAUUAACGAGGAAUAGUAGAAGACGAACUCUUCUCGAUAGAUAAAUAAUAUUUUUUAUUUUACUUUCAUACAAAAAUGGAUUGUAAUAUUAAUUUUACAUUGUCCACACACAAAAAUAAAAUUUAAAAUAUUUGCUUUUUAAGAAUCAUAUCAGAAAAUAAAUCAAUUAAUAAUUUAAUAAAUCAAUAAAAUUCUUAAUUUGUUCAAAUAAUAAAAAAUAAUUUUAAUUAGUUUAAAGUAUAUUAAAUAAAUAAAUUAAAAUAAUAAUAUAUGAUUUAUAAUAAUUAAUUGAUGUUAAGAAAAAAAAAUCUAUGAUUACAAAAAUCUUGAAGUUUCAGAACACCUAACAUCUAUAAAAGGGAAGAGUUGAGCUGAACCAUUACGAGAAAAAAAAAAAAGUUCAAAAGUGGUGCAGAAACAAACAUAAUAGCCACGCAAAAAUGGUUACUGGUUCAAGUAAAAGACAUGUGAUUAAGUAAUUUAACUUUUAAUCCACAACGCCAAGCUGAAUCACUACAUAAUAAGAGUCGCCAGAAAUCCACAGUUGUUAAAAUAAGUUGCUAUAAAAAAUAAAAAUCAGACACGAAGUAACUUCAGCUUAUCAAAAAGAAAAAUGAAAAUGAGAAGCAGAGAGGUCAUCUUUUCCCCCUCGACAUCAACUCCAUACGUUGCAGGGAACUCCAAGAUAUCAUUGUCUAAAUAUCAUCGAUAAAUAUCACACAUAUAUAUAUAUAUAUAUAUAUAUAUAUAUAUAUAUAUAUAUAUAUAUAUAUAUAUAUAUAUAUAUAAUUUAUUUAUACAUCAAAAUAAAAGUUAAAAAUAAUCAUAGGUUUUAUUCAUAAACAUAAUAAUAUAAAUUCAAAAAUAAACAUUCAACUUCAAGUCUAAGGUUAGCUUUCAAAAAAAUAAUAACCGAAAAAAUUUUCAGAGUCCCCUUCAAUCUAUUUAAAUUUAUUAGAUUAGAUUUCGCUCAAUCAAACACAAAUGAGAUAAAUUAAAGAUAAUAAGUUAGAUUGCAUAGUAAUAUAAUAGGUUAAGUUAGUCAAUAUGCUAAUCAUUUGCAUUGUACAUGAUCAUGCAUAUAACAUACUAAGCUACGUAGUAUAUGAACUAAUCAUGUAUACUACAUAUGAUUAUCCAUGUUGAGCCGGAUUAAGUGAUUAACCAAGCUUAGCAUGUUCGUUGGGUCUAGUCUACGGGUUGUAGUUUAGCUUAUGAGUAGAGCCUGACUUACUAAAUAGAUUUUAACUUAAAUCAUAAUUAUUUUUUUAAUUUUAAAUUAUAGCAUCAUCAAAUUAUAAUCAAAACACCAAACUAUUAUAAUUGAGUAAUUAAAAUAUAAUAAAUAUUAAUAGAUUAAAAAUAUAAAUUUACAUUAAAGGGAAAAUAAUAUUUUUACUCAACUAUUGUACAAAUCUAAUAGAAAUUGAAUAUUACAACUAGUAUGUUGCAAGAUAAAAAUUUUAAAAAUGAUUGUAGUAUGAAUAAUUAUAAUAUAUUAAAUCCAAAAAAAUUUAAAUAUUUGGAUGAAUAUAAUAAAAUUUUAGAAACUAUAUAUAGCAUGAAUAAAAAAAUAAUAAUAAUAAUAAUAUUUUUUAAAAAAAUAUACAAGCGCCUACCUCUCUUAUUCUGAUUUGAAGUAGUGAAAAACUAAGAAAAGGAAAUCGCACCUAUUAAAUAAAAAGAGUCGAGCCUUCCAAGGUAAUAAAUAUUUUAAUUGUUAUAUUUAUUUAAUUAAUAAAAAUAAUAUCACUUAACUUAAAAUAUUGAAUAUUUAUUUUAUAAUUUUUAUUCAUAAGAAAAGAAAGUAAGUAAUUGUACUUAAACUGAAUGAUUUAAGGACAGAUGAAACCUGUCAAAUUAGUAUUUUAAGAUCAUUUUAUCCAUAUUUUUUAUAUAAAUAAUUUAUUCCUAUAAUUUUAUAUUUCUUGUGCAUACCGAAGGUUAUACGCUCUUCGUAUAAGGAGCGUGGUUGUAAUUAGGGUGCCGCUGCGGCUGCUCUCUUGUCCCACAAUGGCUGCUGCUCCGCUCCGCUCCGUACUCCGCCGCAAUGGCCUUCUGCCCUUGUUCGAAACCUGCCGCCUUCGAGAUCUCCUCUUCUUCUCCUCCUCUGUCGACCCUGCCGCCGCCGUAGGCGGCACCAUAUCUCCAGAUCCCCACUUCAUGGUGGAAUACCUCGUGAACUCCUGCGGGUUCUCCCCCUCCGAGGCAGCCAUGUUCUCUGAACCCCUUGCGCACCUCCGAUCCACCGAGAAACCCGACGCCGUCCUUAACUUCAUGAGAUCUCAGGGCUUCGAUGGCGCCGGUAUCAGGAAGGUGAUAUCUGGGGAUCCCAGAUACUUAUGCUGCAACGUGGAGAAGAACCUCACCCCGAAGUUUCAGUUCUUACGCGAUUUGGGCCUAUCGGAGUCGGACAUCGUCGAUGUCAUCCGGAAUAACGAUGACAUCCUCUGCCGCAACGUUCACCGUUCCUUCGGCCCCAAAUUGGAGAUAUGGGAAAGUCUCUUGGGAUCGAGAGAACUCGUUCUCAAGCAUCUCAAGAAGUCAGGAUGGUUUUUCUUCUCCAGCGUCGAGAAGACAUUGCAUCCUAACCUAAAGUUCUUGAGGGAUGAGUGCGGCAUUCCUGAAGAAAGGUUCUCUCUCGUCUUGAGAAGUCACCCACAAUUAAUCUCACAGAAACCAAAGUCACUCCGAGCUUUGGUGGCGAGAGCCGAUGAGCUGGGGAUGCCACGGCAAUCUCGGAUGUUCAUGUGGACACUUGUUGUUUUCCACAACGUAAGCCAAGAAAGGUUCGAGGCCAAGGUCGAGCUCAUGAGGAGCUUCGGGUGGUCGGAGUCGGAGUUUUCUUCUGCAGUCAGGAAAGCACCCACCUUCUUACGCGUGUCCGUCGACAUGAUGCGCAGAAAAAUGGAAUUUUUUAUCAAUAUAGUCGGGUACACCCCUUCCUUCAUCGCCUCCCAACCAACUAUCUUGCUAUAUGGUCUGCAGAAGAGGGUAAUUCCUCGGUUUCGUGUUUUGGAGAUGUUGAUUACGAAAGGCUUGGGGACUCGACUAGGCAAGUUUUCGUACUAUGUGAAAUUAUCAAAUACAAAAUUCCGGGAGAAGAUUGUUCUACCUUACAAAGAAAAGGUUCCUGAGCUUCUUGAUAUUUUGAGAGCAGGUGAGUGUGAAGGGAAAUGAGCCCUUUUAUUUGGUAUCAGAGGAGGAUGAGAAGGGCUUAGCUGAUGGUCUAACUCACAUUUGAAUUUCUCAACAGGAGCUGAGCAGUGAUUCGGCACCUUUUCCCUUGACAACAAGCUGUCUUACAUCGACCACCAGCCUUGGCUACUGAGGUGCAGUCCAGUGAAAGAAUUAUUCCUUUGGUGCCAUAUGGUGGUAAUGUUGUAAUUGGAAGGUCUACGCAUUGCCCAACACAAAAUGUCUUCCAGUUUUACUCAUUAAGGUUCAUGGAAAAGUCUGUUCUUUGUUGCAAAGCAGAAGUCCCUGGCCUGUUUGAAAUCUCUGAUCGAUGAAGGUAGAUUAUUCCCCUAGUUUGAGAUUUUGGAAAUAGAAUGCAAAUGGCUUCUCUAAAAGUCUAUUGAGGUGUGAGAUUCUUCUCAUGUGACAAGCUAGUUUAGCAUUGAUUAUAAACCAACUUUGUUUUGUCUUACUAAAUGUCUGCUCGAAUCAUCUUCUGAUUGUGUUUGGCACACUAUUGUUGGUUUGUAUGUGAACUGCAGGUUAUUGGUUGUUGGGGGAGUGUGAAAGAGCCAUGUUUCAGAUCAAAUUAUGCAGUAUGUAUACAUCACCAAAGAUGACGAGAAGUUACAUGGAGUAGUGGUUGCUCUGAUGAUUUUAGUAGCUGAAAAAAAUUUAAACCCCAAAGUGUUGUUUCUAUAAUUUGUUUUAAGCGAGUUUUCACGGAAUUAUGGAUUUGGAUGUCUUCAAGGAUGUGUUAUCUUGUCAGUUGAGCUUCUAUGCAAACUUGUUCGUGUGCUAAUUGGAAGAUUCCAUUUAUGUUUCUGUUAUGUAUUGUGAUAUUUGCAUGCAGGGAGGGGCCUCAAUGGAAUUUGUAAGACCGGUUGCUGUGUUGAUCAGGAUUACCAUUGGUUUGGCGCUCAUCCAUUUCGUUUGCAUGUAAGAAUGUGUCACUUUGCUUGCAGGUUGAAUGGUCUUCAGAGAAUCAAAACUUGAGUAUGCUAUCCUGAAAAGUCUUCAGCCUCAUUCGAAUUGUUGCUCAGGCAUUUCCUGCAUCAACGAACUCUAACAUGCAAACUAAUUUAUAUACCUAAACAUUUUAAAAUUGACAACAAAAUGUGUAUUUCAAAUUUCUGUAAUUGUCUUUGGGAUUUGUUUUAGAGUUAAUCGACGAUUACAAAAUUCACGACUUUAUUGGAUGAUCUGCAUGAUUAUUAAACCAAUAAAUUAUUUGUAGUCAUUCAAACUCACCUAACAAGUACAAGAUUCUUUGAAUGUUGAUAGUUGUAAUUUGUUCACUAUGUAAACAAACAGAGAAAGACGAAUUCCGUAUAAGCUACAAGUUCCUAAAGUUUUAGAACACCUAACAUCUAUAAAAGGGAAGAGUUCGGCUGAAGAAUUGUGAAAACGAUGUAGAAGUAUAAUAUGAAAAUGCACCAAGGAAAAAGAAAACAUAAUCCAUCAAGACAAAUUUACGAUCAUCAUAGGAAAGAGGCUCAAAUGGUAAAAUCAAAUAAGAGAGACCAAUGUUUACGAUAUCAUGGUUGGACCUAUCGGAGUCGGAUAUUGUCAAUGUCAUCCUGAAGAACAAUGCCAUCCUCCGUCUCAAUGUUUACAGUUCCUUCGUCCCCAAAUUGGAGAUGUCGGAAAGUCUUUUGGGAUCGAGAGAGCUUGUUCUCAAGCAUCUCAAAAAGACAAGACGAUUUUUCCUUUGAUCACAUGGAAUGAAUUAGAGCUGAAUUAUACCUGAUCUUAUAAGCUAAGUCAAAACUAUUAACUGAGUUAAACAAUGCUUGACCACAUACGAUGAGUUAUGUUUAACCACAUAAGUUAGAUCAUACUUGGUCAUAUGGAUGCAGUAAUUUUGUAACUAUAUAUAUUAUAUUAUAUUUGACUAUGUGGAUUAUGUUAUGUUGAAUCAUACUUGACAAUAUAGUCCAAGUAAUACUUAGAUUGUAUCACCACAGGCUAGUUUGGUCAAUCAACUUAAUUAAGGUGAAAUCUCAAAUUUGACUCGUACUUGUUAAAUUAGAUUUUAAUAUUUUAAAAAUAUUUUAAAAUAUUAUAAAAUAAUAAUUAAUCAUAAAUCUAUUAUUUUUCAUGAAUUAACUAAUUUAGAUUUAUGUCUCAAAUUUAAAAGUAAUUAAAUCAUAAAAAAUCAUACUUAAUUGUUUAAAACAUAAAUAUACUUUCGAUGAUCAUUAUUUAUUAAUCAUAAAAUUAUUAGAUUAAAAUAUUAAUUUUAUAACAUAUAAAUUAAAAUAAUUAUAAUAUUAAAUAAUUUUAAAAAUAUAAAAAAAUAAUAAUAAUAACAAAUCUACUCUCCUCAUGAACAUUUCUUGUAAGAGAGCUAGUAAUUGAGGAAAGAUGAGCUUGAGCUCUCCAUAAAAGAUAAAUAAUAAUUUUAAUAAUAUUCUUAAUCAUAUUAUAUAAAUGAAAAAAAAAUACUAAUUUAAAUAAAGUAAUACAUGUUUUAAAGUAAUUAAUUGAUGUUAGAGAAUUAUCGAUGGUUACAAAAGUCACGACUUUAUUGAAUGAUCUACAUGAUUAUUAAACUAAUAAAUUAUUUGUAGUCAAUCAAGCUCACCUAGCAAUUACAAGAUCUUUUGAAUGUUGAUAGUUACAAUUUGUUCACUAUGUAAUCAAACAGAGAAGACAACAUCCAGAAUAAGCUACAAGUUCCUGAAGUUUCAGAACACCUAACAUCAAUAAAAAGGGAAGAGUUGAGAUGAAGCAUUAUGAAAACGAUGUAAAAGUAUAACAUGAAAAUGCACCAAGGAAUAUAUAUAUAUAUAUAUAUAUAUAUAAUUCAUCAAGAAAAAUUCAGAUCAUAAAGGGAUUUCACAUGCAUGCAUGGCAAACAAAAAGGUUCGAUUGUGGUUUUAAAAACAUAAUUGCCAUGCAAAAAGAAAAAUUAAUGGUUGAAGUAAGACGUAUCCUAAUAAAAGUAAUUUAAUUUUUAACCCACGAUACCAAGCCGAAUCACUACACAACAGGAGUAAUAAAAAAUCCACAGUUAUUGAAAUGUGUUACUUAAAAACUCGGAGUAACUUAUAGUAACCAUUUCCCCAUAAACCAAAAAUUUAUUUCCACUAUAUUUUUCCUUGACUAAGAAUAACAUCAUUAAACUUCUACCAUCGAUCGAUAACAAUGACAAACUUGCCAUCCGUAGGAGAGCAAAGGUCAAGAACAAAAACAUGAGAAACCAUAAAAUUCUUUCUUAAAAAAAUUAAUUUAAUAAGUUCAUAUCAGGCCGUCAAUUAAGAAAAGUAUCAAAAGUAAUAUCUAGUCCGCGAGCUAUGAUAUAGCUUAUGGGUUGAGCCUAACAUACUCAUUUAUUUCAAUUUAAAUCAUAAUUAAUUUUUAAAUUUUAAAUUAUACUAUCAUGAAAUUAUAAUAAAAAUAAAUUAUAUAUCGAUCAUUUUCAUAUCGAGAUAAAAUAAUAUAUUAAAAUAUUUUUAAUUUAUCUUUUAAAUAUUAUUAAUAUAAAAUAAUAUCAAUUAGUCCUUAAUUAACUUGAAUCCUAAUUCAAUCGAUCUAAUUGAAUUGGAUUUAAUUAUAACCUAGUCGAAUCGAUCAUUAAUUCUUAUUUAAUUGAUCUAAAACUAUCUUAGACUUAAUAUAUUUUAGAUUAUAUUAAGUUUAAUUUAUGUUAAAUAGAUUUAAAUUAAUUAAAUUAAUUUAGAGUCACCUUCAAUCGAUUUAAAUUUAUCAAAUUAGAUUUUGCUCAAUUCGAACACAAAUAAAAUAAAGUAAAGAUAAUAAGUUAGAUUGUAUAGUAAUAUGAUAUGUUAAUUUAGUCGAUGUACUUAUUGUAUAUGACUAUGCAUAUAUCAUACCUAACUCAUAGCCCAAGAACUAAUCAUUUGCACUACACAUCAAUGUUGAGUCGGAUUGAAUGACUAACUAGGCUUAGCCAGUUGAGUCAAAUCUAUGGGUUGUAGUUUAGCAUGUGGGUAGAGCCUGAUUUACUAAACGAAUUUCAACCAAAAUCAUAAUAUUUUUUUUAAUUUUAAAUUAUAACAUCAUUAAAUUAUAAUAAAAAUCUCAAACUAUUGCAAUUGAGUCAUUAAAACAUAAUAAAUAGUAAUAUAUUAAAAAUAUAUAAUUGCAUUAAAGGGAAAAUAAUAUUUUUACUCAACUAUUAGAUAAAUCUAAUAAAAAUUGAAUAUUACAACUAGUAUAAUGCAUGCAAGAUAAAAAUUUUCAAAAUUAUUAUAGUAAGAAUAAUUAUAAUAUAUUAAAUCUAAAAAUAAAAUUUUAAAUAUUUGGAUGAAUAUAAUAAAAUUUUAGAAACUAUAUAUAGCAUGAAUAAUAAAAAAAAUAAAAAAUAUUAAUUUUUAAAAAAAUAUAGAAACGCCUAACUCUAGUGAAAAACGCACCCCUAUUAAAUAAAAAGAGUCGAGCCUUCCAAGGUAAUUAAUAUUUUAAAUUUAUUUAAUUAUUUAAUAAAAAUAAUAUCACUUAACUUAAAAUAUUGAAUAUUUAUUUUAUAAAUUUUAUUCAUAAGAAAAGAAAGUAAAUAAUUGUACUUAAACUGAAAUAUUUAAGCACAGAUGAAACCUGUCAAAUUAGUAUUUUAAGAUCAUUUUAUCCAUAUUUUUUAUAUAAAUAAUUUAUUCGUAUAAUUUUGUUUUUCUUGUGCAUAGGGAAGGUUAUACACACUACGUAUAAGGAGAGUGGUUGUAAUUAGGGCGCCGCUGCGGCUGCACUCUUGUCCCACAAUGGCUGCUGCUCCGCUCCGCUCCGUACUCCAACGCCGCAAUGGCCUUCUGCCCUUAUUCGAAACCUGCCGCCUUCGAGAUCUCCUGUUCUUCUCCUCCUCUGUCGACCCUGCCGCCGCCGUAGGCGGCACCAUAUCUCCAGAUCCCCACUUCAUGGUGGAAUACCUCAUGAACUCUUGCGGGUUCUCCCCCUCCGAGGCAGCCAAGUUCUCUAAACCUCUUGCGCACCUCCGAUCCACCGAGAAACCCGACGCCGUCCUUAACUUCAUGAGAUCUCAGGGCCUCGGUGGCGCCGCUAUCAGGAAGGUGAUAUCUUCGGAACCCAAUUACCUGUGCCACAACGUGGAGACGAACAUCGCCCCGAAGUUUCAGUUCUUACGUGAUUCGGGCCUAUCGGAGUCGGAUAUCGUCGAUGUCAUCCUGAAGAACGUUGUUAUUCUGCACCUCCACGUUCACCGUUCCUUGGUCCCCAAAUUGGAGAUGUGGGAAAGUCUCUUGGGAUCGAGAGAGCUCGUUCUCAAGCAUCUCAAGAAGACCCGAUGGUUUUUCUUCUCCAGCGUUGAGAAGAAAUUGCAUCCUAACCUAAAGUUCUUGAGGGAUGAGUGCGGCAUUCCUGAAGAAAGGGUCUCUGUCGUCUUGAGAAGUCACCCACAAUUAAUCUCACAGAAACCAGAGUCACUCCGAGCUUUGGUUGCGAGAGCCGAUGAGCUGGGGAUGCCACGGCAAUCUCGGAUGUUCAUGUGGACACUUGUUGUUUUCCACAACGUAAGCCAAGAAAGGUUCGAGGCCAAGGUCGAGCUCAUGAGGAGCUUCGGGUGGUCGGAGUCGGAGUUUUCUUCUGCUGUCAGGAAAGCACCCACCUUCAUAGGCAUGUCCCUCGAUAUGUUGCGCAGAAAAGUGGAAUUUUUUAUCAGUGUGGUCGGUUACACCCCUUCCUUCAUCGCCUCCCAACCAACUAUCUUGCUAUAUGGUCUGCAGAAGAGGGUAAUUCCUCGGUUUCGUGUUUUGGAGAUGUUGAAUACGAAAGGCUUGGGGACUCGACGAGGCAAGUUUUUGUACUAUGUGAAAUUAUCAAAUACAAAAUUCCGGGAGAAGAUUGUUCUACCUUACAAAGAAAAUGUUCCUGAGCUUCUUGAUAUUUUGAGAGCAGGUGAGUGUGAAGGGAAAUGAGCCCUUUUAUUUGGUAUCAGAAGAGGAUGAGAAGGGCUUAGCUGAUGGUCUAACUCACAUUUGAAUUUCUCAACAGGAGCUGAGCAGUGAUUCGGCACCUUUUUCCUUGACAACAAGCUGUCUUACAUCAACCACUAGCCUUGGCUACUGAGUUGCAGUCCAGUGAAAGAAUUAUUCCUUUGGUGUCAUAUGGUAGUAAUGUUGUAAUUGGAAGGUCUAUGCAGUGCCCAACACAAAAUGUCUUCCAGUUUUACUCACUAAGGUUCAUGAAAAAGUCUGUUCUUUGUUGCAAAGCAGAAGUCCCUGGCCUGUUUGAAAUCUCUGAUAGAUGAAGGUAGAUUAUUCCCCUAGUUUGAGAUUCUGGAAAUAGAAUGCAAAUGGCUUCUCUAAAAGUCUAUUGAGGUGUGAGAUUCUUCUUAUGUGACAAGCUAGUUUAGCAUUGAUUAUAAACCAACUUUGUUUGUAUGUGACAAUGCAAAUGGCACAGUAUUGUUGGUUUGUAUGUGAACUGCAGGUUUUAGAAAUUCUGCUUAGCAGUCCAACGGAGAUUAUUUUGGAUCUUAGGAACAUUUGGAUUCUGUUUAAGUUGAUUCUGAACGGGUAUUUGGAUUCUGACAAAUGUAAUUCCGGAUCGGUUAUUGGUUGUUGGGUGAGUGUGAAAGAGCCAUGUUUCAGAUUAAGUUAUGCAGUAUGUAUACACCACCAAAGAUGACGAGAAGUUAAAUGGAGUAGUACUUGCUCUGAUGAUUUUAGUAGCUGAAAAAAAUUUAAACCCCAAAGUGUUGUUUCUAUAAUUUGUUGUAGGUGAGUUUUCAUCUUGUCAGUUGAGUUUCUAUGCAAACUUGCUCGUGUGCUAAUUGGAAGAUUUCAUUUAUGUUUCUGUUAUGUAUUGUGAUAUUUGCAUGCAGGGGCCUCAAUGGAAUUUGGAAGACCAGUUUUUGUGUUGAUCAGGAUUACCAUUGGCUUGGUACUCACCCAUUUCUUUUGCAUGUAAGAAGGUGUCACUUUGCUUGCAGGUUGAAUGGACUUCAGAGAAUCAAAACUUGUGUAUGUUAUACUGAAAUGCCUUCAUCCUCAUUGGAAUUGUUGAGUAUGCUAUCCUGAAAUGUCUUCAGUCUCACUGGAAUUGUAGAGUUUGCUAUCCUGAAAUGUCUUCAGCCUCAUUGGAAUUGUUGCCCAGGCAUUUCCUGCAUCACAACAAACUCUAACAUGCAAACUAAUUUAUACGCCUAAACAUUUUAAAAUUGACAACAAAAUGUGAAUUUCAAAUCUCUGUAAUUGUCUUUAGGAUUUCUUUUAGAGUUAAUGAUCAUUGCAUCAUAAGGUUUUAUGUCCCGCAUUUAGUGCAGAAAUGACUACUUAUGAUUGUGCAAACUAUCCUUACCCAUUCUCAGCUACUCUUGUUUCGGCCUCUCCAUGCAAUUGUGCAUAUUUUUAAUAUCACAAUUCAGAUAAGAUCAUAAGAAUAUUGAUCAUCUUUCUCAUAUGUAAAAUGUUUUCGGAAUCUUGAUAUCAGCUGUUCAUCUUUUGCAGCGAAUUUUGUGUAGCUGUGCAUGAAUUGUGGAACUGAUAGAACAAACAAGUGCAUCAAGAAUAUUGGAAGGUAUGCGAAAACUGCUUUUCUAAUUACAUUCUUGUUCCUGCCAUGCUUGUUUGUAGUGCUAUAGAGUAUGCUAUGAAUCUUGUCUCUUGCAAGCAAUCAUUGGAAUUGGUUCUUGGAUUCUUGUUCAUAGUUUUUGUUUAAUUUUUGAGUGUGUUAGUUUAUUUAAUCUGUUGCGAGUUUGGUAUAACAAGGUUUCAAAAUCAUUUGGUUAUUAUCUCAAUUCUCAAUGGGCAUAUCGAGACCCAUAAUCGGCCUAAAUUGGGCUUUCCCAUUGUGUAGACUUGCUCAAUAUUUUCUUACUUUUGUUCGUAAGGCCCAAUUGAACCCAUUACGGACCGUAUGCAGCCCGUUUCUCGUGCGUACACUCAACUGUGUAUCUUACUUUCUUUAAAUGUUUGUUAUAGAUUGCUCCUCAUGCAAUCAGGUAAGUGUGAUUUCUGUGAAUUCUUCAUCAAGUCUGCUGGUUUUUCUUCUUUCUUCCAAUUGUAAGUUAUGUAUCUGUUUUCAUUACACAACUAUGUGUAAGCAUAAUAUAGAUUGGAAGUUAAAUAUCUCUUGCAAUGGAUGCUAAUAUGUUACAUAAAUGUAGUUAAAUCCUUUGGGUCUCAAUGACAUUACAAAAGGCUUGUUGUAAGUGCAAUGCCUUUUGUGCCAUGGUGCAGGUGGGAGCUAAGCACAAUGAUAAUAUCUAUAUUAAGAUAAAGUGGAUGAGACAAAUGUGAAUUUUGUUGCUGGAUAUUUCAUGGUGGUCUAAUCAUAAGUGACAGAAGAUUGGAUGAAAGAAACAGAUUAAGAUUUGAGCCUAUGAGUGAUAAAAGGAAUUAGUAAAUGAUCUCUCUCAUGGAUUGCGUCAGAUAUCGAAUUUAUUUUGUGUCUAAGUCCUCAUCAUUAUUCCGACAUUUUUUUUUGUAAUCAAUGAUGAUUGUGGUUAACUAUUUAACUCUAUAUGUGUAAAAGAAUAUAUAUAUAUAUAUAUUAGCAUUUAUCUCUAUAUCCCUUGCUCCAAGAUCCUAGCUCCAAAAUAAAUUGGAUUGUUGGAUUGAUAAUAAUAAUAAUAGUCUAAAAUAAUAAUUAUAGAAGAUUGGAUUUUGGAAAUAAUUAUUACAUAAGUAAUUGGGAGGCAGUCAACCUCAUUCCUUUCAUGUUGUAGAACAGACCACUUCAAAACCAUUAAGAAGCUUCAUGUGUAAGAAUCUUCAUAUAAAGUCUAACGUGCAAACUAACAUGUAAGAUCAAAACGUUUAGAAGUGACAAUUAAAUGUGUAUUUCAAGAUUCGUUAAUUACCUUUUGCUCUUGUAGUAUAGUUUAUGAUCAUUUGCAUCACUAGUAUUUCAGAUUUAUGCACACUAUCUUCACUCAUUCCCAACUCGAUUUUUUUCUGCCUAGCCAUGUCUGAUAUGCGUUUUAUAUUUUGAUAUCAGUUGUUCCGUCUUUGCUGUGCAGGAGUUGUAGAACUGAUAGAACUUGCAAGUUCAUCAACAAUAUUGGGAAGAUACUCUUUUUUCUUUAUGACUGAACAAUAACGUCCCAAUUCUUUUUGUCAACACACGUAUGUCUCAAUUUUGGGAAGACUGACAUUAUUGAAAUGAAUAUAUGGAAGGAAGUGAGAAAAGUAGAAUUCAUGAAUUUAAAUAAGACAAGUAAUCUAAGCAAAAUCGUGCACUUAUUUCAUGUUAAUGAACCAAUGCAAUGUGAACAUAAAGCAUAAAAGGAUAGGAUACUUUCGGAUGCUCAGGAAGUUGGCAUGUAUAGAUUGAUUGUCUCCAGAUUGAAAAUGUGGCCUGCUAUAAUUAACAGGUGUUGUGAUAUAUAUAUAUAUAUAUAUAUAUCUUUGCAUCGAUUCUUGGAUAAUCUGUUCUUUUUUUACAUGAGGAUCAUCGAUAAUAGUCGAUCGGCGAGGAUUGCUAAUGUUUGGAUUGUCAAACAAACGAUAAGAUAGUGGAGGAUAAUUGAUGAGGUAAAAAUAUAAUGAAACGCAUAUAAAAGUACAGUAAAAAGCGAUGAUCGAUAGAAGAAAAUUGAAUAUUAAAAAAAUUAUUUUUUUUAAUUUAGGCAGUAUCAUAAGAAAAUUUGAAUGUAGAAGUUUUUUUUAAAAAAGAAUUCGUCGGAUGAUCAAAUCACUUUUCUCAUGUAAAGCGUGUUUUCUUAUGGAGAGACAAAAUUAUAUAAAUAUUUUGUCGAUCACUUUAUCCAUAUUUGUGAUAUAAAUACAUUAUUCCUGCAGUUUUGUAUUUCUUGUGCAUAGCGAAGCUUAUACACACUAUAUAUAGGAAUUAGGGUACCCCUUUCAGGUCAUUUUCCUCUCCCACGAUGGCGGCUGCGACGCUGCGCUCCGUACUCCGCCGCAAUCGCCUCCUUCCCUUGUUCGAAACCUGCCGCCUUCGAGAUCGCCUCUUCUUCUCCUCCUCUGUCGACGCUGCCGCCGUCACCGUAGGCGGCACCAUGUCUCCAGAUCCCCACUUCAUGGUGGAAUACCUCGUGAACUCCUGCGGGUUCUCCUCCUCCGAGGCAGCCAAGUUCUCUAAAUCCCUUGCGCACCUCCGAUCCACCGAGAAACCCGACGACGUCCUUAACUUCAUGAGAUCUCAGGGCUUCGACGGCGCCGGUAUCAGGAAGGUGAUAUCUGCGGAUCCCAGAUACUUAUGCUACAACGUGGAGAAGAACCUCGCCCCGAAGUUUCAGUUCUUACGCGAUUUGGGCCUAUCAGAGUCGGAUAUCGUCGAUGCCAUCCUGAAGAACAAUGGCAUCCUCCACUACAACGUUCACCGUUACUUGGUCCCCAAAUUGGAGAUGUGGGAAAGUCUCUUGGGAUCGAGAGAGCUCGUUCUCAAGCAUCUCAAGAAGACCCGAUGGUUUUUCUCCUCCAGCGUUGAGAAGACGUUGCAUCCUAACCUAAAGUUCUUGAGGGAUGAGUGCGGCAUUCCUGAAGAAAGGCUCUCUCUCGUCUUGAGAAGUCACCCAAAAUUAAUCUCACAGAAACCAGAGUCUCUCCGAGCUUUGGUUGCGAGAGCCGAUGAGCUGGGGAUGCCACGGCAAUCUCGGAUGUUCGUGCGGACACUUGUUGCUCUCCACAACGUAAGCCAAGAAAGGUUCGAGGCCAAGGUCGAGCUCAUGAGGAGCUUCGGGUGGUCGGAGUCGGAGUUUUCUUCUGCAGUCAGGAAAGCACCCACCUUCUUAGGCAUCUCCCUCGAUAUGUUUCGCAGAAAAGUGGAAUUUUUUAUCAAUGUGGUCGGUUACACCCCUUCCUUCAUCGCCUCCCAACCAUCUAUCUUGCUAUUUAGUCUGCAGAAGAGGGUAAUUCUUCGGUUUCGUGUCACAGAGAUGUUGAAAUCGAAAGGAUUGUGGACUGGACAAGCCAAGUUUCCAUACAUUCUCGCAUUAUCAGAUACCAAAUUCUUGGAGAAGUUUGUUCUCCCUCACGAAGAAAAUGUUCCUGAGCUGCUCGAUAUUUUGAGAGUUGAUGGCGUGUGUAAAGGAAAAUGAUACCUUUCAUUUGGUAUCGGAGGCUGAGAAAGGGCUUAGCUGAUGGUCUAAUUUGCCAACAAAGGUAGAUUAUUCCCCUAAUUUGAUAUUUGGGAAUUUUCUGAAAAGGGCUUAUCUAAAGGUCCAUUUAGGUGUGGGAUUUUUCUUUUAUGACAAGCUAGGUAGAUUAACAUUGAUUAUAAAUCAAAUUUUUUCUGUCUUGCUGAUUGCCUUUGGCAUAGUAUUGUUGGUUUGUCUGUAAACUGAAUGUUUUAGAAAUUCUACAUGACUGUCCAACUGAGAUGACCUUUGGAUCUAUUGUGGGGACUUUUGGAUUUUGUCCAAAUUAAUUUCAAUUCUGGAUUGGUUUUUGUUUGGGUAAGUCCUGAUGAGUCAUGUUUCAGAUCAAGUUAUGCAGUAUAUAGAAAAUAUCACCAAAGAUCACAAGAAAUUGUUGAGUGGUAAUUACUCUAAUGAUUUAACUGGCUGAAAAAAACUUAAACACCAAAGAGUUGUUUCUGUAAUUUGAUUUUAAAUGAGUCAUCACCCAAUUUAUGGAUUUGGAUAUAUCUAAGGUGUUAUCUCUUGUCAGUGGAGGCUUCUUUGCAAACUUAUUUAUUUAUGAACUAAUUGGAAUAUUCAAAUUUGAUUUAUGCAUUGUAAUAUUAGUAUGCAGUGGCUUCAAUGGGAUUUGAAAGACCAGUUGCACUGGGUUGAUAAGGAGUCACCAGCUUUAGUGCUAACUAUGCUCUCAUCAUCAUAGCUGAUGCUUCUGCUGUCCACCCUUUGUGAUUCCAGGUGCAGAUCUCUUCAUUCUUGGAGUUCAUUCUUGGAUUUGGUGGAUGCAACUUCUCAUCAUCAUAGCUGAAGCUUCUGGUCUACUUGAAAGCCUUCAGAAGGCUGCACAACUAAAUUUCUCCAACAUCUGAAUCGAACUAAUUCCCUUGAGUUAGUCGAUUCGCUGGUUCCUUCUUUUAUUUCUUUGUUCAAGUCUUUAUGUUGUCGAUGUGGUCCAUGUUUCCCGCAUCAUGAAAGGCGUGGGCCAUUGGCUAGUCAAUCUUGGAAGGACUGUAAAUUCUGUCUUUUUGGUUCUUGUAAUAAUAGAUCAAUCUAGCUCGGUAUCUAAUCCACUUUAAUCUUUAAUGAAAUUUCUCUUUUUUCGGUAAAAAAAGAAAAAAAACAAACUCUAACAUGCAAACUAACAUGUAAGCUCAGAAGGCUUAAAAGUGACAAUUAAAUGUGUAUUGCAAGAUUCUGUAAUUGGCUUUAGUUGUUGUUGUAGAGUUUAUGAUCAUUUACAUCACUAGUAUUUCUGAUUUUUAUGCACACUAUCUUGACCCGUUCUCAACCAGUAUUUUUCUGGCUAUCGAUGCCUUUUGUGCAUGUAUUCAGUAUCUCAUUUCAGAUAGGGUCAUAAGAUCAUCACUCAUCUUUAUCAAUGCGUGGAUUGUGUUAUUGAUUUUGAUAUCAGUUGUUCCAUCUUUAUUCUUUGUCUUGGAUAAUAACGUCCCAAAUCGUUAUGUCAACUCAAGUCUCAAUUUUGGUCAGACAGACAUUAAUGAAAUGAUUAUAUGGAAGGAACUUAGAAAAGUAGAAUUCAUAAAUUUAAAUAAGACGAGGAAUCAAAGCAAAAUUAUGCACUUAUAUAUCAUGUUAAUAAACCGAUACAACGUGAACAUACAACAACAUAUGCAUUUUCAAACAAGGAUUGGGUAUUUAUGGAUGAUCACGAAGUUGGAAUGUAUAGAUUGAUGUCUUCAUAUUGAAAUGUGGCCUGCUAUAAUUAACAAGUGUUAUUUUACAGAUAUAGUAUAUUGUUGUACAAUCAAUUUUAAUUAAAUAUCAUAUUAUCCAUCAUCAACUUCAAUCGAGCUUUUUUUUUUUGAAUUUUUACGAGUCAUAAAUACUAUUCAAAGCAUAUUAAUUUAAACACAAGAAAUCAUGUUUUGAACGAUCAUAAGAUUGUUUUUUUUUUAAUUCUGGUGCAACAAUAAAUUAUUUUUGGAUCAAAUAAAUGAAUAAUUUUAUAUCUUUAUAAAGAUACAAAAUCAUAUAAAUAUUUUGUAGAUCACUUUAUCCAUAAUUUUGAUAUAAAUAAUUUAUUACAGUAAUUUUUAUUCCUAUGCAUAUCGAAGGACAACUGUUUGAAUUAUGAUACCCGGAUGCUCUCCUUUAUCUAGUCACAAUGCUCGGCUCCUCCUUUCACCGUGAUAACCUUUUGUCAUUAUUCAAAUCCUAUCGUUCGAGGUCUCAUUUUCUUUUAUUUUAUCGUCGAUUGAUUAAGAUUAUGUUUAGAUCAAAUAAGUUAACAAGAAAAUGACGAUUGAGUUUUGCCUAACCGUAGGUGUUGUAUCGUAUACCAUAUGAAUUGAGUUAUAUUGAAUCAUAUGAGUUGAAUUAUACUUAACUAUAUGAAUUAUGUUAUACUUAGUCACAUGAGUUAGGUUAUGCUUGACUGCAUAGAUUGAUUUGAUCAAUCAACUUACAUUAAAUCAUUAUUUUAACUCAUAUUAUUAAAUUAUAUCAUGAUAUUUUUAAAAAAUAUUUUAAAAUAAUAAUUAACAUUAAAUCUAUUCUUUUUCAAGAAUUAACUAAUUUAGAUUCAUAAUUUUAAAUUUAAAACUAAUUAAAUUGUACAAAUUCAUACAUAAUUUUUUAAAACAUAAAUAUGUCUAAUUAAAUAAAUUAUUAUUAUUAUUAAAUUAACUAAUUAUUUUAACAUCAUAAUUUCAUAAUCAUUAUUUACUAAUCAUAAUAUUUUUAAAAUUAAAAUAUUAUUUUGCAUCAUAUUAAUUAAAACAAUUCUACUAUUAAAUAUUUUAAAAUAUAAAUAAAAAUGAUAAUAAAGAAAAUAAAGAAUCCUACGCGUCCUUGCAAUCAUGUCAUCAAAAUUUUUUUUUUUCUUAAUCCUUCGUCCAACUUCUAAGAGGGGAGAAUUACCGAGGAAUAGUAGAAGAUGAACUCUUCUCGAUAGAUAAAUAAUAUUUUUAUUUUACUUCGUACAAAAAUGGAUUGUAAUAUUAAUUUUACAUUGUCCACACACAAAAAUAAAAUUUAAAAUAUUUGCUUUUUAAGAAUCAUAUCAGAAAAUAAAUCAAUUAAUAAUUUAAUAAAUCGAUGAAAUUCUUAAUACCUCAUGAUGGAAUACCUCAUGAACUCUAAACCCCUUCGAGGCAGCCAAGGUCUGUAAACCCCUUGCGCACCUCCGAGCCAUCGAGAAACCCGACAUCGUCCCUAACUUCAUGAGAUCUCAGGGCUUCGACAACGCUGGUAUCAGGAAGGUGCUAUCUUCAAGACCCAAUUACUUUUGCUGCAACGUGGAGAAGAUCCUCGUCCCGAAGUUUUAAUUCUUACGCGAUUUAGGCCUAUCGGAGUCUGACAUCAUCGAUGUCAUCCGGAAUAACGAUGACUUCCUCUACCUCUAACCAUUACCAUUGUGUUAUUAAAACAUGAUAUUAACUUAAAAUGUUGAAUAUCUAUUUUAUAAAUUUUAUUCAUAAGAAAAAUUUAUCCAUAUUUUUGAUAUAAAUAAUUUAUUCCUAUAAUUUUGUAUUUCUUGUGCUUAGCGAAGGGUUAUACGGACUACAGAUGAAAGCGGGUUGUUUGUAUUAGGGUGCCGUUGCGUCAGCUCUCUUUCGUCCCACAAUGGCGGCUGCGACGCUCCGCUCCGUGCUCCGCCGCAAUAGCCUCCUGCCCUUGUUCGAAACUCACCGCCUUCGAGAUCUCUUCUACUUCUCCUCCUCUGUCGACCCUGCCGCCGCCGUAGGCGGCACCAUAUCUCCAGAUCCCCACUUCAUGGUGACAUACCUCGUGAACUCCUGCGGGUUCUCCCCCUCCGAGGUAGCCAAGUUCUCUUAACCUCUUGCGCACCUCCGAUCCACCGAGAAACCCGACGCCGUCCUUAACUUCAUGAGAUCUCAGGGCUUCGAUGGCGCCGGUAUCAGGAAGGUGAUAUCUGCGGAUCCCAGCUACUUACGCUGCAACGUGGAGAAAAACUUGGCCCCGAAGUUUCAGUUCUUACGCGAUUUGGGCCUAUCGGAGUCGGAUAUCGUCGAUGCCAUCCUGAAGAACCAGGCCAUCCUCCUUCACAACGUUCACCGUUCCUUCGUCCCCAAAUUGGAGAUGUGGGAAAGUCUCUUGUGAUCGAGAGAGCUCGUUCUCAAGCAUCUCAAGAAGACAACACGGUUUUUCUUCUACAGCGUUGAGAAGACAUUGCAUCCUAACCUAAAGUUCUUGCGGGAUGAGUGCGGCAUUCCUGAAGAAAGGGUCUCUGUCGUCUUGAUAAGUCACCCACAAUUAAUCACAAAUAAACCAAAGUCACUCCGAGCUUUGGUGGCGAGAGCCGAUGAGCUGGGGAUGCCACGGCAAUCUCGGAUGUUCGUGUGGACACUUGAUGUUCUCCAAAUGGUAAGCAAAAAAAGGUUCGAGGCCAAGUUCGAGCUCAUGAGGAGCUUCGGGUGGUCGGAGUCGGAGUUUUCUUCUGCAGUCAGGAAAGCACCCACCUUCUUACGCAUGUCCCUCGACAUGUUGCGCAGAAAAGUGGAAUUUUUUAUCAAUGUGGUCGGUUACACCCCUUCCUUCAUCGCCGACAAAUCAUAUCUCUUGCUAUAUGGUCUGCAGAAGAGGGUAAUUCCUCGGUUUCGUGUGACGGAAAUGUUGAAAUCGAAAGGAUUGUGGACUGGACAAUGCAAGUUUACAUCGAUUCUCGUUUUCUCAGAUACCAAAUUCAUGGAGAAGUUUGUUCUCCCACACAAAGAAAAUGUUCCUGAGCUGCUUGAUAUUUUGAGAGUUUCUGGCACCUGUAAAGGAAAUGAUACCUUGCAUUUGGCAUCGGAGGAUGAGGAAGGGCUUAGCUGAUGGUCUAAUUUGUGACGACGAAGGUAGAUUAUUUCCCUAAUUUGACAUUUGGGAAUUUUCUGCAAAGGGCUUAUCUAAAGGUCCAUUGUGGUGUGGGAAUUUUCUUUUAUGACAAGCUAGCUAGAUUAACAUUGAUUAUAAAUCAAAUUUGUUCUGUCUUACUGAUUGCUAGCUUAAAUUAUUUUCUGAUUGUCUUUGGCAUAGUAUUGUUGCUUUGUACGUUAGCUGCAUGUUUUAAAAAUUCUACAUAACAGUCCAACUGAGAUUACCUUUGGAUCUAUCGAAGGGACUUUUGGCUUUUGUCCAAAUUAAUUCCAAUUCCAGAUUGGUUUUUGUUUGGGUAAGUCUUGGAGAGUCAUAUUUCAGAUCAAGUUAUGCAGCAAGUAUAUACAAAAUAUCACCAAAGAUCACAGGAAGUUGCUGAGUAGUAGUUGCUCUAACGAUUUAAGUGGCUGAAAAACACUUAAACUUCUUUGCAAACUUAUGUAUUU
rnacentral:lncRNA from 1 species